CUCUUCAAUUAUUCCGUUUCUUGAAAAUUAUAAAAAUUUAUUAUACUAUUACAUUAUAUUAUAACUUAUAUAAAACUACUAAAUUAUCCAUGUAUAUUAUUAUGAAUACUUCAUAUUCAUUAUACAUUCAACGCUCCGAUAAAAAAGUUAUUAAUCCACUAAAACAGCAAUCAUAGUUAAUCAUACUCGAUAAAAACUAAUUAAUCAGCAUUAUUAAAAAAAAAUAUCCAUGAUAAUCGAACUACAAAUAAUAAAUUAAAAAAAUCACAACAUGUCAUUUUCCUUAGCAAAAUUCCAUACUAGAAUUCUGAUGUUAAAUGAUUGAAUUCUGAUUCUGAUGUUGAAUGAUGAGAAAGAAAAAUGAUUUUAAUUCGAAUCAUUGAACGAUUAGCUUUUCAAAGAUGUUGCCCCUGGAAUUCGAAUUAAAUAAAUCACCGUCAGGCUUGGUGAAACCUUUUCGUACUCGAAGUACAGAAAGGUUUCGUCUCGGUUUCCCUCGUACAAUCCCCUUAACUCGGAGUGGAUCGAACUCUGGUGCAUGCUCGAGGUUCUCGAGAUCGCAUCUCUUCACGAAUGCUCUCACGUGAUACCACUAUAAUGUCAUACGUCGUAACGAUCGGUGCAUAGUAAUAGUCCAAGAACAAACCUGUCACGUUACACGUGGCCAUGUAUAUGGACAAACAUGUAUACAGAUAUAAAUCAUUCCACUCAUACAUGGACGAAUUUACACAGACAUGUCAACUGACCGAUCGAUCGAAUUAAUAUUCUCGAUUGUUGAAGCAUAGAAUCGAUGCACAUUGGAAUUCCUCUUGGUUGAGUGCACAAGCUGUAUUGUAAACUCUUCAAGUGGAUUUUACAUCGUACAAGCGCAUCAAGUGCUGAUGUAUACAUAGAUACAGAAGUCGAAGAAAAUGACCGUCACCGAGAAACGAGCGUAGUAGCAUUUCGUAAAUCUCGCCUGUUUAAACCGUAUCGGUUGGCUUUUCGAGGGCCGAGAGGUGACGGAGGCGGUGGUGGCUGCGUCUUCUUACGUUGACGCGAUAAAGCGUGGUUGAAAGGGGGUUAGGGGGAUCCGGAGGGGCCCUGGAUUGACGUCAUUCGAUGACGUCAACCAGGACUGUGUCAAAACCGCUCAGGAACCAUGUGCACAGUCGAAUAUCCUGACUACGUGACCUAGUGCAGCUGUUCACUCCGCGAAACGAAGUUUUGUAAUACGCUUUUUCGACCAUUUUUUUCAACGAAUCGAGUGUAAUUUGUGGAGAUUAGAUUUGGGGAGGAAGGGAAAAUGGGAAUCUUGAUUCCUUGAGGAUGUCUUGAAUAAUGUGGAUUAAGACAUUG